AGGAUGAACGCUGGCGGCGUGCCUAACACAUGCAAGUCGAACGUCCUGUCUCGCAAGAGGCAGGGAGUGGCGGACGGGUGAGUACCACGUGGGUCAUCUACCGUGAGGUGAGGAAUACCGGCGAGAAAUCGCCGACAAGACCGCAUAGGCUCGAUGCAAGUCGAGCAAAGCUCUUUCGAGAGAGGGAGCGCCACACGAGGAGCCUGCGCCCGAUUAGCUAGCUGGUGGAGUAACGGUUCACCAGGGCGACGAUCGGUAGCUGGUCUGAGAGGACGAUCAGCCACACUGGGAUUGAGAACGGCCCAGACUCCUACGGGGGGCAGCAGUGAGGAAUUUUCGUCAAUGGGGGCAACCCUGAACGAGCAACGCCGCGUGCAGGAAGAAGGUUUUCGGAUCGUAAACUGCUUUUCUCGGGAAGAGAACGGACGGUACCCGAGGAAUCAGCCCCGGCUAACUACGUGCCAGCAGCCGCGGU
rnacentral:rRNA from 1 species